AUGAAUGGACACGUGCAUGUCCGGCCCAUGAUGGAACGAUCAGACGUUGGCGGUAGCGGCAGCGGUGGCCUUGGCGGUGACGGCGGCGGCGAGGCCGAGCUCAGCGAGGUGGAGAUCGGUGUCUUCGGGGUGUUCCUCAACAUUCCUCGGGCGAUGCGGCAGCAUCCACCGCCCAUCCUCGGUCCUGACCAUGCCCUUGUUCAACUCCUGGCGCCACCCGUCGGGCACCAUGUGCUCAUCCAUGAGGAAGUCGGCGGCCUUGUUGACGAGCGCAGGAUCCCUGCCCCCGAGCUUGAACUCCUUGCCGCGGCCCUGGUAGCCGUCGAGAAGGUGGAGGUGCGCCUCGAGGUUGUGGUAGCACGCGAGGUCGAAGACGUCCUUGAGGAACGGCGACAGCUUGUGGUCGAGCGCCAGCUCCACGCCGAUGUGGGAGUAGACGCUGGGCAGGCCGAGCGCGCCGGCCACGCGCAGCAACGGCAUGGGGAGGACGGCCUCGGUGAAGAUGCCGGGCACCUUGGGCACCGAGUCGUGCACGUUGAGGAUGCGCAGCGCCUUCACGCCCAGCUCCCCCUCGAAGCGCUCCCUGAACAUGGGGUUCCCGACGCGCGGGCCGGAGUAGGAGAAGACGCAGACGGGCGCCUUGGCGCCGGUGGUGGACACGUUGACGCGUGUCUCGGCGAUGUCGUAGGCGCAGAGCACGGCCAGCGCGGCGCCGAGGCUGUGGCCGGUGACCGUCACGCUCACCUCCUCGCCCUGCGCGGUGUACCGCUCCACCAGCUUCCGCACCUCGGCGAGCACCUGCUCCCGCGCCGAGUACUUGCAGUACUUGCAGUCCGGGUUCUUGCUAGUGUAGAGCUCGGCGAACCCUUCCUCAACCUUGACGCUCGGAUCAGGGCACGGCAGCCCGAACUGGCCGACAGGUUUGAGGAACGCGGUUACGUCGGCGAUCCACUCGAGCUUUGUGACGGUGCCCCGCCAGGCGACGGCGAUGUCCCGGCGGCCGAUGCGGGCCGUCUCCUCGUCGGUGGACACGGCGAUGAAGCCGAUGAAGGUGCCGGUCUCGCUCCACAUCCGGUCGUCGCUGGGGUUGUGCUUCUUGACGCCGAAGCUGGGGAAGCGGGCGUGGGAGGUGGCGUAGAGGUAGCGGGCGACCUCGUAGCCAACGCCGGCGAGGCCGACGUCCUUGAAGAAGGACUCCUGGGCGUACUUGCAGGUGCCGGCGUAGCGGGAGUAGCGGUCGUAGUCGAAGGAGUCGUAGCAGGCCUGAGAGAACUCGCCGUACCGGAUGAGCUCCCCGCGGAGCGUCCUGUCGAUGGGGUCCAACAGGCCGUCCCAGUCGUUGCAGCCGUGCAUCUCCCGCCACCGCGACGUCAGCUCGCCGUCGGAGCGGCCGGACUCCUCCGCCAGGGUGCCGCGCUCCAUGUCUCCCACGAAGGAUUCUGCCUUCUCCUGCUUCACGGGCUCCACUUGGUCGGUCGACACCGCCGACGUGACAUGAGACAGGCGGGCGCGGGCGUUGAGCGAUAG
rnacentral:rRNA from 1 species